rnacentral:tRNA from 1 species
GCCUUGUUAGCUUGGUUGCUAGCGCGUCUGCCUUGUAAGCGCUAGGCCGCAGGUUCGAUUCCUGCCCGGGGCG